rnacentral:tRNA from 2 species
UAAUAGAAAACAAAAUUUGUAUUUAGUUUCGACCUAAAAUUAUGGUGGCACCACCUCUAUUAA